UCCACUUACUACUGUAAGUCGCUCUGGAUAAGAGCGUCUGUUAAAUCACUCAAA
rfam:Salmo salar isolate Sally breed double haploid chromosome ssa16, whole genome shotgun sequence.